GAAAGUAGUGUUAACGCAAUGUGAUUUCUGCCUAGUGCUCUGAAUGUCAAAGCGAAGAGAUUUAACUAAGCGCAGGUAAACAGCAGGAGUAACUAUAACUCUCUUAAGGUAGCUAAAUACCUUGUUAUCUAAUUAGUAACGCGCAUAAAUAGAUUAACAAGAUUCCUACUAUCCCUAUCUACUAUCUAGCAAAACUACAGCUAAGGGAACAGGCUUAGCUAAAUUAGCGGGGAAAGAAGACCCUGUUAAGCUUAACUCUAGUUUAACAUUGUAAAAAGACAUAGGGGGUGUAGAAUAGGUAG
rnacentral:rRNA from 1 species